AAAUUGAAGAGUUUGAUCAUGGCUCAGAUUGAACGCUGGCGGCAGGCCUAACACAUGCAAGUCGAACGGUAACAGGAAGCAGCUUGCUGCUUCGCUGACGAGUGGCGGACGGGUGAGUAAUGUCUGGGAAACUGCCUGAUGGAGGGGGAUAACUACUGGAAACGGUGGCUAAUACCGCAUAACGUCGCAAGACCAAAGAGGGGGACCUUCGGGCCUCUUGCCAUCAGAUGUGCCCAGAUGGGAUUAGCUAGUUGGUGAGGUAACGGCUCACCAAGGCGACGAUCCCUAGCUGGUCUGAGAGGAUGACCAGCCACACUGGAACUGAGACACGGUCCAGACUCCUACGGGAGGCAGCAGUGGGGAAUAUUGCACAAUGGGCGCAAGCCUGAUGCAGCCAUGCCGCGUGUAUGAAGAAGGCCUUCGGGUUGUAAAGUACUUUCAGCGGGGAGGAAGGUGUUGUGGUUAAUAACCGCAGCAAUUGACGUUACCCGCAGAAGAAGCACCGGCUAACUCCGUGCCAGCAGCCGCGGUAAUACGGAGGGUGCAAGCGUUAAUCGGAAUUACUGGGCGUAAAGCGCACGCAGGCGGUCUGUCAAGUCGGAUGUGAAAUCCCCGGGCUCAACCUGGGAACUGCAUUCGAAACUGGCAGGCUUGAGUCUUGUAGAGGGGGGUAGAAUUCCAGGUGUAGCGGUGAAAUGCGUAGAGAUCUGGAGGAAUACCGGUGGCGAAGGCGGCCCCCUGGACAAAGACUGACGCUCAGGUGCGAAAGCGUGGGGAGCAAACAGGAUUAGAUACCCUGGUAGUCCACGCCGUAAACGAUGUCUACUUGGAGGUUGUGCCCUUGAGGCGUGGCUUCCGGAGCUAACGCGUUAAGUAGACCGCCUGGGGAGUACGGCCGCAAGGUUAAAACUCAAAUGAAUUGACGGGGGCCCGCACAAGCGGUGGAGCAUGUGGUUUAAUUCGAUGCAACGCGAAGAACCUUACCUGGUCUUGACAUCCACGGAAGUUUUCAGAGAUGAGAAUGUGCCUUCGGGAACUGUGAGACAGGUGCUGCAUGGCUGUCGUCAGCUCGUGUUGUGAAAUGUUGGGUUAAGUCCCGCAACGAGCGCAACCCUUAUCCUUUGUUGCCAGCGAUUAGGUCGGGAACUCAAAGGAGACUGCCAGUGAUAAACUGGAGGAAGGUGGGGAUGACGUCAAGUCAUCAUGGCCCUUACGACCAGGGCUACACACGUGCUACAAUGGCGCAUACAAAGAGAAGCGACCUCGCGAGAGCAAGCGGACCUCAUAAAGUGCGUCGUAGUCCGGAUUGGAGUCUGCAACUCGACUCCAUGAAGUCGGAAUCGCUAGUAAUCGUGGAUCAGAAUGCCACGGUGAAUACGUUCCCGGGCCUUGUACACACCGCCCGUCACACCAUGGGAGUGGGUUGCAAAAGAAGUAGGUAGCUUAACCUUCGGGAGGGCGCUUACCACUUUGUGAUUCAUGACUGGGGUGAAGUCGUAACAAGGUAACCGUAGGGGAACCUGCGGUUGGAUCACCUCCUUACCUUAAAGAA
rnacentral:rRNA from 1 species